UUCGCAAUGCCCGAAAGGGUGACGAAGCGACGCCGCGUGGGUGAGGAAGGCCUUCGGGUUGUAAAGCCCUGUCAGGAGUUAAGAAAUGUAGACUCGCUAAUAUCGGGUCUAUUCGACAAAGGCUCCAAAGGAAGCCACGGCUAACUCUGUGCCAGCAGCCGCGGUAAUACAGAGGUGGCAAGCGUUGUUCGGAAUUAUUGGGCGUAAAGAGCACGUGGGUAGAUUUGUAAGUCAGACGUGAAAGCCUUCUGUUCAACGGAAGAAUUGCAUCUGAAACUACAAACCUUGAGUGUAGGAGGGGAGAAUGGAACUUCUGGUGGAGCGGUGAAAUGCGUAGAUAUCAGAAGGAACGCCGGCGGCGAAAGCGAUUCUCUGGCCUAUUACUGACACUCAGUGUGCGAAAGCUAGGGGAGCAAACGGGAUUAGAUACCCCGGUAGUCCUAGCCGUAAACGAUGGGCACUAAGUAGAGGGGUUUU
rnacentral:rRNA from 1 species